rnacentral:rRNA from 1 species
UGGGGAAUAUUGGACAAUGGGCGUAAGCCUGAUCCAGCAAUGCCGCGUGUGUGAAGAAGGCCUUCGGGUUGUAAAGCACUUUUAUCAGGAGCGAAACGCUGUCGGCUAAUACCCGGCGGAACUGACGGUACCUGAGGAAUAAGCACCGGCUAACUUCGUGCCAGCAGCCGCGGUAAUACGAAGGGUGCAAGCGUUAAUCGGAAUUACUGGGCGUAAAGCGUGCGUAGGCGGUUUCUUAAGUCUGCUGUGAAAUCCCCGGGCUCAACCUGGGAAUGGCAGUGGAUACUGGGAGGCUAGAGUGUGUCAGAGGGUGGUGGAAUUCCCGGUGUAGCGGUGAAAUGCGUAGAGAUCGGGAGGAACAUCAGUGGCGAAGGCGGCCACCUGGGACAACACUGACGCUGAGGCACGAAAGCGUGGGGGAGCAAACAGGAUUAGAUACCCCGGUAGUCCACGCCCUAAAGCGAUGCGAACUGGAUGUUGGUCUCAACUCGGAGAUCAGUGUCGAAGCUAACGCGUUAAGUUCGCCGCCUGGGGAGUACGGUCGCAAGACUG